AAUUUUGGUGCGGUGGAGGUUAUAGAAAUCGAUAAGGUUCUGGUGGAAUGUAUCGAUUACCAUCAGCUGAUGGUUGUUGAUAGGCAAUGCUAGGGAUGGAAACAAGUUUCUGUGCUACGCUGGUCUUUUUAGAAUUUCCCGACUUUUCGAUUUAGAAACUCAUUAAAUCCCGCACUCUGUGUAGGUAUCUAGGCAAAUCAUAAUUAGAAUACCAAUGCUUAACAGUUUAUGCUUCAAAUCAUUAAUAAAUUCAACAAAUGGAUUCAAAAGAUUAAUGAAAUUCCCGAAAAUACUGCUCUUCAUAAAAUUGAAGAAGAACAAUUUGGUUCAUUAUAAAUCCUUCGAAAUACUAUAGACGCUAGUGAAAUGAUGUUCUUCCUGCAAUGUCAAUUAUCGCAAGUUCCUCAGUUUGUGCAACGUGUUCAUGCUGUACUUUUCGAUGCAAUCGUGUGAAGCCUGAGCAUCGUCAUAAGAUCAUGAUGAAAAUUAAAGUCCCUAACACAAUCGGGUAAAAGCAACUUGCACUUGGCAAUCUUCUUAGGAGAUAGGUUUUAUAAUCUGAUGACCAUUCACUCAAGUCCAGUUGACGCAACUGCGUCCAUUUGGACAGAGCGUCGCAAUAGAAAGUAUGAUCGGAUUUCAAACUAUGCAUCCCAGGAAUUAGCUCUGACAUUAUUGCUAUUUCUUCGCCGGCACGAUCACUAUCAGUAUCACAGUCAUCCACUGUGUACUCCAUUGUUUCCAUGUUGCUUUACAACACUAUACAAUCGAUUUGUCACUAAAAGUGUUGGCAAGCAUCGACAGAACAGCUUCAGAAAAAAAAUAAUUAUGGAUCUAAAAAGCGGAUUUAAGUUAAAAAAAAAAAGCCAGAAUUCCCGCUGGCAUUUGACGGGAAAAAGCGACUCUGGCAACACUGUAUCUAACU